rnacentral:rRNA from 1 species
UACGUAGGGACCAAGCGUUGUCCGGAAUCAUUGGGCGUAAAGCGCACGUAGGCGGAUCGUUAAGUCGGGGGUGAAAUCCUGGAGCUCAACUCCAGAACUGCCUUUGAUACUGAAGAUCUUGAGUUCGGGAGAGGUGAGUGGAACUGCGAGUGUAGAGGUGAAAUUCGUAGAUAUUCGCAAGAACACCAGUGGCGAAGGCGGCUCACUGGCCCGAUACUGACGCUGAGGCACGAAAGCGUGGGGAGCAAACAGG